rnacentral:rRNA from 1 species
GACGAACGCUGGCGGCGUGCUUAACACAUGCAAGUCAUGGGGGCCCGCAAGGGCAACCGGCGAACGGGUGCGUAACACGUGAGCAACCUACCGAUUUGUGGGGGAUAGCCGGCCUAACGGCCGGGUAAUACCGCAUACGCUUGUAAGGCCACCUGGUCUAACAAGGAAAUCUUCGGAGCAGAUCGAGGGGCUCGCGGCCUAUCAGCUAGUUGGCGAGGUCACGGCUCACCAAGGCGACGACGGGUAGCUGGUCUGAGAGGAUGGCCAGCCACAUUGGGACUGAGAAACGGCCCAGACUCCUACGGGAGGCAGCAGUGGGGAAGUCUUGCGCAAUGGACGAAAGUCUGACGCAGCGACGCCGCGUGGGGA